CAAAGAUGAAUUGCCGAUGAGGAUGGUUGCCGAUGAAGGAGAGGUCGGAUGUGACUAAGUCUGUAGGCAGUAAUGUGUUUAUGUCGAUGGCUAUAAUGGGGAAGUCUGCCGAUGACCAUGGCCAGAAAUCUGCCGAUGACCAUGGCAAGGAGUCUGCCGAUGAUAUGGAGGAGGAGUCCGGAAACCACUGAUCGGUUUAAUGGAAGAAUUUUAGUUCGUCACGGAGGAUAGCUUUGUUAUUUCCUUAUUUAUUUAAGUCGUUUUGUAUACGGAUUCCGUGUAAUUUGGAAUUCGAAUUCUAGUCGUGUUUAG
rnacentral:lncRNA from 1 species